CUUGCUCCUUGGAUUCAGCGGCGGACGGGUGAGUAACACGUGGGCAACCUGCCUGUAAGACUGGGAUAACUCCGGGAAACCGGGGCUAAUACCGGAUAACUUCUUUUCCCGCAUGGGGAGAGGUUGAAAGACGGUUAUGCUGUCACUUACAGAUGGGCCCGCGGCGCAUUAGCUAGUUGGUGGGGUAACGGCCUACCAAGGCGACGAUGCGUAGCCGACCUGAGAGGGUGAUCGGCCACACUGGGACUGAGACACGGCCCAGACUCCUACGGGAGGCAGCAGUAGGGAAUCUUCCGCAAUGGACGAAAGUCUGACGGAGCAACGCCGCGUGAGUGACGAAGGCCUUCGGGUCGUAAAACUCUGUUAUCAGGGAAGAACAAGUGCCGUU
rnacentral:rRNA from 1 species